GAUUUCAACUAAAACAGUCAUCAACAACAAAGUUCAAUAACUCAUAAAGAUCUAAAACUUUAUUUUGGUCGUUUCUUCCUCUGAUAAAGUGAUAGUAAUAUUGAUCAUAAAAUCGACAUAUCUGUUAUCUGGUUUUAUAAACUAUUAUACAGAUGUGUAAAUUUUAUAAACAAUGUUACUAACACUUUGUCGGAUGAAGAAAUGACAAAAAUAAAAGUUUUAGAUCUUAAUGAGUUAUACAACUUUGUUGUUGAUGAAUUUGUUUUAGUUGAAAUC
rnacentral:pre_miRNA from 1 species